rnacentral:rRNA from 1 species
AAAUCGUACCCCAAACCGACACAGGUGGUCAGGUAGAGAAUACCAAGGCGCUUGAGAGAACUCGGGUGAAGGAACUAGGCAAAAUGGUGCCGUAACUUCGGGAGAAGGCACGCUGGUGUGUAGGUGAAGUCCCUGCGGAUGGAGCUGAGACCAGUCGAAGAUACCAGCUGGCUGCAACUGUUUAUUAAAAACACAGCACUGUGCAAACACGAAAGUGGACGUAUACGGUGUGACGCCUGCCCGGUGCCGGAAGGUUAAUUGAUGGGGUUAUCCGUAAGGAGAAGCUCUUGAUCGAAGCCCCGGUAAACGGCGGCCGUAACUAUAACGGUCCUAAGGUAGCGAAAUUCCUUGUCGGGUAAGUUCCGACCUGCACGAAUGGCGUAAUGAUGGCCAGGCUGUCUCCACCCGAGACUCAGUGAAAUUGAACUCGCUGUGAAGAUGCAGUGUACCCGCGGCAAGACGGAAAGACCCCGUGAACCUUUACUAUAGCUUGACACUGAACAUUGAGCCUUGAUGUGUAGGAUAGGUGGGAGGCUUUGAAGCGUGGACGCCAGUCUGCGUGGAGCCAACCUUGAAAUACCACCCUUUAAUGUUUGAUGUUCUAACGUGGGCCCCUAAUCGGGGUUGCGGACAGUGUCUGGUGGGUAGUUUGACUGGGGCGGUCUCCUCCCAAAGCGUAACGGAGGAGCACGAAGGUUAGCUAAUCCUGGUCGGACAUCAGGAGGUUAGUGCAAUGGCAUAAGCUAGCUUGACUGCGAGCGUGACGGCGCGAGCAGGUGCGAAAGCAGGUCAUAGUGAUCCGGUGGUUCUGAAUGGAAGGGCCAUCGCUCAACGGAUAAAAGGUACUCCGGGGAUAACAGGCUGAUACCGCCCAAGAGUUCAUAUCGACGGCGGUGUUUGGCACCUCGAUGUCGGCUCAUCACAUCCUGGGGCUGAAGUAGGUCCCAAGGGUAUGGCUGUUCGCCAUUUAAAGUGGUACGCGAGCUGGGUUUAGAACGUCGUGAGACAGUUCGGUCCCUAUCUGCCGUGGGCGCUGGAGAAUUGAGGGGGGCUGCUCCUAGUACGAGAGGACCGGAGUGGACGCAUCACUGGUGUUCGGGUUGUCAUGCCAAUGGCACUGCCCGGUAGCUAAAUGCGGAAGAGAUAAGUGCUGAAAGCAUCUAAGCACGAAACUUGCCCCGAGAUGAGUUCUCCCUGAGACUUUAAGUCUCCUGAAGGAACGUUGAAGACGACGACGUUGAUAGGCCGGGUGUGUAAGCGCAGCGAUGCGUUGAGCUAACCGGUACUAAUGAACCGUGAGGCUUAACCUUACAACGCCGAAG